rfam:Octopus bimaculoides Scaffold19994_contig_10, whole genome shotgun sequence.
GGCUGUUUAGCUUAGUGGUGUAGCACUCAACCGGAGUAUUUUGAGGGAUAUGGGUUCGAAUCCCAUGACUGGUU